rnacentral:lncRNA from 1 species
UAUUAAAAUAUAAUAAUAAUAUAUGGUAUUUUAUAAUGCUAAAUUACAUAAAGCCCCCUGUUAAUACCCGCUUUUUCACUUUACUUACUGUCAUUCAAAAACCUACACAUUACCUCCUGAAAAAUAAAAAAUAUUCACAGAAAGAUACGAUAUGACAAAAUGACCAAAUUGUUCUCAUCUUUUUCAUCUCCUCCUCCAUAAUCUUGCUCGUGCCGACGGCGGAGGAGGGUGAAAGCGUGUGUCUUAGUAUUGACAGAGGGGUGGCCGAGGAUGAGGCUGCCGCCAAGGGCAUGUGUGUGGGCAUGGAUGAGGAUUUCAGAGAUAUUUUGGGUGUAAAAAAUAAGAUAUAAACGGAACCCUAAUGAAACACUAACGGCGGGGGUUGGAAUGAAUAUUUUUUAUUUUUUAAAAAGGCAAAGUGUAUAUUUUUGAGUGACAUAGGGGAAAGUAAAAAAAGUGGGUAUUACUAAGGAGAUUUUCUGUGAUUUAGCCAUUUUAUAAUUUUUAUUUUUAUUUUUUUCUUACAUGUUCUAUUAAUUUUUGUAUUAAAUACAUCACGCAUUGCAUAUUUAUAUCAAAGAUGUCUCACAAAGA